rnacentral:rRNA from 1 species
UACGUAGGGGGCAAGCGUUAUCCAGAAUCAUUGGGCGUAAAGCGCGUGUAGGCGGUUCCGUAAGUCCGCUCUGAAAGCCCAGGGCUCAACCCUGGGAGGCGGGUGGAUACUACGGAACUGGAGUACGGAAGAGGAGAUUGGAAUUCCUGGUGUAGCGGUGGAAUGCGUAGAGAUCCGGAAGAACACCGGUGGCGAAGGCGGCCUGCUGGGCAGUUGCUGACACUGAGGCGCGACAGCGUGGGGAGCAAACAGG